GAUGAACGCUGGCGGCGUGCCUAAUACAUGCAAGUCGGGCGAACAGACGAGGAGCUUGCUCCUCUGACGUUAGCGGCGGACGGGUGAGUAACACGUGGAUAACCUACUUAUAAGACUGGGAUAACUUCGGGAAACCGGAGCUAAUACCGGAUAAUAUAUUGAACCGCAUGGUUCAUUAGUGAAAGACGGCUUUGCUGUCACUUAGAGAUGGAUCCGCGCCGCAUGAGCUAGUUGGUAAGGUAACGGCCUACCAAGGCAACGAUGCGUAGCCGGCCUGAGAGCGUGACCGACCAGAUAGGAACUGAGGUACGGCGCAGAAUACUAAGGGAGGAAGCAGCGAGUGAUAUUGCAAAAUGGGAGGAAGGCUGAUGCAGAGAUGCUGCGUGCGGGAUGACGGCUGUCGGGUGGUAAACCGAUUUCGCGUUUGACGAAGCGUGAGUGACGGUAAUGGGUAAAGAAACACAGGCUGACUACGUG
rnacentral:rRNA from 1 species